AUUGAACGCUGGCGGCAGGCUUAACACAUGCAAGUCGAACGAGUGGCGGACGGGUGAGUAAUGUAUGGGCAUCUAGCUGAUGGAGGGGGAUCACUACGGGAAACUGUAGCUAAUACCGCAUACCAUCGGAUGAGCCCAAGUGGGAUUAGGUAGUAGGUGAGGUAACGGCUCACCUAGACGACGAGCCCUAGCUGGUCUGAGAGGAUGAUCAGCCACACUGGGACUGAGACACGGCCCAGACUCCUACGGGAGGCAGCAGUGGGGAAUAUUGCACAAUGGGCGAAAGCCUGAUGCAGCCAUGCCGCGUGUAUGAAGAAGGCCUUCGGGUUGUAAAGUACUUUCAGUCGGGAGGCGUUACCGACAGAAGAAGCAACGGCUAACUCCGUGCCAGCAGCCGCGGUAAUUC
rnacentral:rRNA from 1 species